AGCAAAAUGAUGAGUUAAAGCUUCUGAAUUUAUGAUGUUGAAAUCGUACAUAGGUCUUCAAAGUUCUCUGAUUGCU
rnacentral:snoRNA from 1 species